rnacentral:rRNA from 1 species
GAUGAACGCUGGCGGCGCGCCUAACACAUGCAAGUCGAACGAUUAAGACACCUUCGGGUGUGAAUAAAGUGGCGAACGGCUGAGUAACACGUGGGCAACCUACCCCUCUCUCUGGGAUAGCCUCGAGAAAUCGUGGGUAAUACCGGAUACUCCGGAUCCAUCGCAUGGUGGAUCCGGGAAAGCUCCGACGGUGAGGGAUGGGCCCGCGGCCUGUUAGCUUGUUGGUGGGGUAACGGCCUACCAAGGCAAUUAUGGGUAGCUGGGUUGAGAGACCGACCAGCCAGAUUGGGACUGAGACACGGCCCAGUCUCCUACGGGAGGCAGCAGUGGGGAAUCUUGCACAAUGGGCGAAAGCCUGAUGCAGCGACGCCGCGUGCGGGAUGAAGGCCUUCGGGUUGUAAACCGCUUUCAGCAGGGACGAGGCGCAAGUGACGGUACCUGCAGAAGAAGCCCCGGCUAACUACGUGCCAGCCGCCGCCGUAAGAC